GGAACGUUCAUGUAAAGAACAAUUUGGUGUAGUUUGUUAUCCUUUUACAGCAGUUUAGAAACCCCAACUGCCAUUCGGGCUAGUUAAAACUAUU